rnacentral:lncRNA from 1 species
CUUUUUUUUUUUUUUUUUGUACACAGGUGCAACUGUAGAGCGACUCUAUGGCCGCAGGGGAAAGGUCGUUUAUACGCUCAACAACACACGGUGGUGUUUGGAAUUGUACCCAAAAAAUUUUACAUUUUUUUUAAAUUUUUUACAUGUAUUAAAUUGUUAUAGUAUAUUUUUUUCAUACAAAUUUCAAAAAAUUACAAUUCAAAUGGAAUGGAACCCUCCUCUUUUGGUAAAAAGAAAAAAGGAGCAUUUGCACAAGGGAAAAAUCAUUUAAAAUUUAGUCUCAAUCUAAAUUUUUUAUCAUUUUUUACUCUAAAUGAUCAAUUUUUUUUAAGAGCAAAAGGAUUAAAUCUCAUUUAUAACCAAACAAACAACUGGAUCCAUUAUUCAAUUUUGCUCUCUAAAGAAGUAGAAUUUGACUCUUACCAUAUUCAUUUUUAACCCAAAAAAAAAAAAAAGAAAUCGGAUCAAAAUUAUAUUAAUCUUUGUCACUACAAAAGCAAGAUCUGACAUUUAUAUACAUAAAAAAUGAUAACAUGUGAAUCAUUUUGUGAUUUCAACUAAAAAGAAAUUAAAAAUUUAGGUUAGAACCAAAUUUUACUUAUUUAAAUUUAUAAGAAAUAUAAAAUUAAUAUUUUAAAAAUAAAAAACAAAAAAAUUUAUUUAACAAAAUGUCAUGAUGGUUGUUUUGAAUGGUUUCCUUUUCCAAAAUGUGCCCGCAAACAUAUAUUAUAAUCGCUAUUACUUUCUACUACCAAAUGACUCUCUUAACAUUUCGAAGUUUCCAAAUAACCCCACAUAAUUUUAUAUAAAGGGAAAACUUGACUAAAAGCAGCUUCCUAUUAGUUGAAAUGCUAGUGUUAACCAAAUGAGAACUAAAUAGAUAUGUAUGUUAAACUAUAUGGAAUUAAGUGGAUAUUAUAGACCACUUGGCUUCUUAUCUUUCUGAGCAAAGAAAAGUAGAGAGCUCACAUUGGUACAACAUAGCCUUGAGUUUGCAAAAACAUCUUGCUCCGAGAAAAGGCAUGGCCUCUGUAGAUUUCAUGGCUCAUCAAAGGUGAAAAGCUCAUCAUGCCCAUGCAGAGAAACUGCAGAAAAUUUUCUUUUCUGGCUUUUACCACACAGAACUCAUGCAACAAAUCAUGUAUGUGGCAAAUUCUUACACCUCCUAGGGAUCUUUCUUUCCAGACCAUAACCAAGCUUCUCCUUAUCAGUUCACACACAUAAUCCUGAGCCACAUCUUCUAAGCUCUUUACAUCACUUUUUUCCACAAGCCCUUCAGCGAUCCAUAAACUCAUCAACCUCCGAAAAGGAAUCUCUUGGUCUUCAAGAAAUGUCCCAAAAUAAAGAAAGCACGGCUUUAGAUAAUCAGGUAAAUGCCCAUAACCAGCUCUAAAACAUCCAUACACUGAUCGGUGGCACAAACAGCAGCGCUUAAACUCAGUCUUUCUGCAAUCUCUUUCCAACCAUCUUGCUUCAGAUUUGCAAGAAUUCCAGCUACUGUUAACAACUUUGAGUGGUAGCCCCUGACAAUGUUUUGCCAUUUGCAUCCCCAGAUCACUCUGUGCUAAAGGAUAGCCUUCUUCUUCACAAGCUAUCUGUUUCUGCAGUAAUUCCCAGCUCUCCUUAUCAGUAACUCCUCGAAGAUGGUGAAUUUUACCAUUCUGGUUAAUCUCAAAAGCCACCUUAGGAAGUCGACUUGUUAAAAGGAUUCUACUGCCAUUGGCAUUAUCAGGGGAAGAUCAUUGCAAGCCACUCCAGGCCUCGCUAUUCCACACAUCAUCCAAAACAAUGAGAUAUGUAAUUCUCAUCAAACUUUGUCUUAGCUUUUUCUUCCAACUCAUCUUGAGUCAUCUUACUAUAGUCACCAUCAGAAGGGUCAGAAUUCAUACAACCCAAAAUCUGAAGCAGUAAAUUUUUCUGUUGAUGAAUUUUAGAAACAUUACACCAUGCACGUGCAUGAAAAAAGCGUCUGACUGAAUGAUCAUUGUAAACAUUUCUUGCCAAAGUUGUCUUACCUAGUCCCGCCAUACCCACAAUAGAAACAACGUCUAACUGCUUUGGUCCUCUGGUAAGUUUCUGAGUUACUGUGGUUACCUCAGCGUCCAAUUUCACCACAAUUUUGUUGGUUGUCCUGCUUGCACUAUGGGUUUCCAAUCUUAACUUACUAUGACUAAUCUUCAAAGCUUCCAUCUUAAGAAGAUUAACCUCAUUAACUUCUUCUCUGAUGGAAUCAAACAGGAUUGGAGAAUAACCAGGAAUAUCUCCAACAAACAAGGAUUUUACCAAAAAUGUGUCUUCCGUGCCACCUCCAUGACACAGCUCCAAAGAGCUUGGUUGCACUGGUCCGUACUAUUCUCAUAGAAAGAUCCUAAUAAUGCAAGAUCUUCUUGGAUGUCUUGAAUUUGAUCCUCUGCACAAGCAAUUGAAUCAACCUCACAACUUGGCAGAUCCUUCAGAUUUUCUGAGAGAAAGUCCAUAAAACCAAGUUCGUUGGUGCUGGGAAAGAUGAAUGUUGACGUUGAAACUUUAACAAGCUGAAUCUUUCCUCAAAAUUGAAAAGCGCAGAAUCAAAUUCCUUCGCCAAGCCUUCUUUCAAUUCGUGCACAAAAAGCAGCCAAAUUAUGAUCCCUGCCUUGUUGACUGCAGCUCCAAUAAGAUCCUUUUCUUUUUCAUGUAGCUUAUCAAACUUCUCCUGGUGCUUCUUAAGAAUGGUUCUCAAGAAUCCUAGUCCCUUAUACAGGGGUGGUAUUUGAUCCUUCAAAUAGAACAUCAGAUCGUUACCACGAUUUACUAGGUCGCUAAGAUUGUCAAGAAGAAAACAUACAUAGUCCUCCAAUACAUCCUUACCCAUCUCCAGAGUGUCUGAUAAUCUUGGCACGUGUGAAGCCAUCAAGACUUGGACGUAACCCUCAUGGAGUUGGCAGUCAACAGACACGAUCAUUUGCAGCAGUUCAGAAGUCUUAUUCUGCAUUUCAUCGCACACUGUCUCAUCCUCUGUGCUAGCUUGAUACAUGCAAAAUACUCCUGCUGCUGCAUUGACAGAGGCAGCUUCCAAAUGAGUCAAGAGAAUUUCCAACUGCUUCUUCUCAAAUCCUCGCAAUUCUGCGAACUGAGUAAAUCAUUUGAAGAAUGUCAACUUCUCUUCUAGACCUCUAAUCAGAUUUCUCAAACUCUGAUCAUAAACAUCUCCCCAGUAGAUUAGAUCCACCACAUUUACUAUAGGGUGUAGAUGAAUCCCAUAAGCCUGUCCCAGGAUUGCACCGAGCAGUCCAACACAGUGAUGUAGGAAUCAGAUUCAUUGAUCUUUUGGUUAACAGACCCCAUGCUUCCCUUAAAAUCAUAGAUUAUGUCCUGUAAAUCCCAUUUCAAUUCAGUGAGAGAAGAGAAUCCUUAGUCUACUCUAAGACGAAAGGAGUAAAAGACUUCUCCAUUUUUGUGGACUGCUUAUGCAAUACUGUGCAACAAAGAUCCCAGACUUGCAUUUUCAUCAGAGUUGCAACUGUGGUCGUUGCUGCUCCAGUACGUCCUAGCACACGAGACGAAUGUUCGCUGAAUUCUUAGCUACAUCUUCAGGCUCGUCAACCGACAAUCAUCUACAUACAGAUCUUUCGCCAGCAUCUCUAGAGCAUUCAAGACUUCAUCAAUGGAAUCAAAAUCCAUCUUUCUGAGGUUCCACUGCAGCAAUGGAAGAUUUUUUAUUUUUUUUUUUUUGGUUGCUUUUACGGAUAAACUUUCGAACUUCAGUUGAACAAGAACUGUUCUAAGUAUUCUAUGCUGCUGAAAAUCAAUUGUUUUUCUUUUUUUUUUUUUUUUUGGUUUUGCAGAAAAACUUUGAACUCCAUUUGAACAAGAACUAUAGAAUGUAUCCUAUGCUGCUGUUUUUGGGUGCUUUUACUUUAAAAUUGAACUGCAAUUGAGCAAGAACUGCAGGAAGCCUGCCAUGCUGCAGGAAAUGAGGUGAUUCUUACUUCUCUUACUUCUAUGAAUAUUUUGGUCAACCCUCUCUUUUUCUUAGUGAAAUUAUGAGUAGAAUGAAACAAGAUCCGCCAAUUCAGGCAGCCAUGUUAAACAACCAGGGAAAUCAUUAAUGGACCAAAAAAAAAUUUGUUCUCAAGUCUCAUUUCCAUCUUUCCACCGAUAACACUAUUUGACCAGAGCAUUAAUUUCUCAAGUUUUUUUUAUUAAGUAGUCCUCAACUUGACUCAAUGAUGCAGCAUUUUUCAUUAAACUAAUGAAUGAAGCAAUCUCUAAGCUUUAAUAAAGAAAGGAAAACAACUUCGUUAUCUCUUGUAUCAAUUCUAUCCUACGUACCGUCAUCUCUUGUAUCAACCUGUAUUCCACCCUUUUAUUUUCUUGCAGGUAUUCACGGUAUAUCAAAAUAUAUGGAAAGUGAAAAUACAGGUACUAAACAAAAUGUUGAAUAGAAUUGGGAUUUGACACAUGAAGAUAAGGAUGCAAAGCCAAAGAGAACUGACUCAUGGGAGGCCAAUUUGAGGUGCUAGAAAGAGCAAUAAAGCUCAAACCAUGAAUGAGAAGGGGGAAGAUAACUGUAAGAAGUAGAAAUGCAAGAAUCAUGGGGAGAAAGGUGGGGAGGGCAAUACCGUUAAUCACUACCAUGGUCGUCUAUUCGCCCUUAAUCUUGUACAUUUGUCUCAAAUGUAUCUCAAGAAUAUAUGUAUUAACCAACCAAUAUCAUCACAUGAUAUUGAUGUACUUAACUAACCUUUAUUUCCCAGGUAAUCUUACGAAUUUUAGAGCACAAACAUGUACCAAAAGAGAAAUUUGUUGAGGAAAAUAACUAAAUCACAGCGAGCUAAACGUUCAAGAGAAAAUGCGCCUAAUAAUCUCUCCUUUGGUUUUUUGGUUUAUCUUUUAGACACUCUUUCUUCUGAUGUAGAUGGGAUGUGAAGGACCAAUUUAUUGGUGGUAUUGAUAGGGUGUUAAUUGUUAGUAAUUUUAUUAUUAAUUUUUCUUUUUACCGUUGCCAAAUAUUGCUUUAAUUUGCUUUAAUUGUCAAUAUAUAUUUAUAUUUAGUAUUUAAAUAUAAUUUCAGAAAUUGGAGCAGAAACCUCUUGAGAAGAUUAUUGUAAAGCUUUACACAAUUCCGGUGCAAACCAACGAAGAAGAAUGGAAUUGCAUUUGGGAAUUCAAUUUGGCUAGACAACAUAUCAAAGUUGGUGGGGACCGCAAAUAAGUUGUAUUGUCUAAAGUUUGCUUUCUUUGCACAUUUGUGGUUUUGCUUUCUUGUUGGUGAACGUGUGCACUUGGUCAAAAAGAAAACCGACACUUGCUUUUGUUUUGAGUGGAGUUGAAUUGAUUGCGUAGAGAAAUGAUGACCUCUUUGGUGGACGUGGGGUCAUGUCUCCAUUUGGCUGGUUUUUUUAUGUAUGAAGACAUUAGACGUGAAAGGGAGCUAUUAGACUAGUUUUGAGUUUUCUCUCCAAAUAAGCUCCAUUGGAGGAUAGAGGUAGUUUUUGGUUUUCAGAGGAGGAGUUCUUCCUUCUCUUGUUGCGUGGUGUGCAACUUUUUUUCAAAGAGUCUACGGAGACUCAAGUUGCUUUCUAAAUUCUUAGUCAGUUAUUUAUGUAUUUGAUUCCAAUUAAAUUGCGUGGGAAUUUUAUCAUGAGACUUAACUAAUCUUCUCAUCUAGUCAAGGAUCAACGCGAAGACGCAGUCCCAAAUAUCUGUGAGAUCUAAUUAAUUUUACGUGUUUCUUAAUUUGUUAAUAUUUGCAUGUUUUCUAUUUUAAUUUUCAUGGGAUUAUUUUGUUAAUUGGAUAUCAAGGGCCCGAUGUGCAAUUUGACUUUUUAAUCUUCUGUCAAAUUAAUCAAUUAAAUCCGUAAUUGUUUAAUUGGUUAAUAUUAGUAGCAACUAGUAUUUUCACAUACUAGGGGAACAUGCAAUCUGAUUUAAAUAACCCUCGUAACGUGUUAUUAAUUUGGGUUAGGCUUUUCUAGUUUUUAAUGCAAUUAGGAAAUUAAUUCCUACGUUCGUACCUAGGAGUAUUUCCUGGUUAGGGGUAAUCAACGGUCGUACCUUGGUUAUCAAUAAAUUAAGGAAAAGCUGGUCGUUAGAGCUUAUCGGCGACUAUAACUAACCUGUUAAUAAAAUUAAGUGAACCUUCUUUGCAUCAAUGAUCGGAUGAAUGGACUGUGUCUGCGUAGUUGUAUCCUUGGUUAGAAUUUAUUUAUUAUUUAUUUAAUUGCUAUUUACAUUCCUAUUAAUUAAUUAUUUAUUUUUGGUUAAAUUGUUUAAUUAUUUUUAGUUUAUUUCUGAUAAAAAUCCCCCGUGAAAAGAAUCGAAUUUUUCCCAGUCUCUGUGGAUUCGACCCUAUUCACUACUAUACACAGAAAAUUUAUUUUUCUCGAAUAGAUAUUUAUUAUUGCACAGGCUCGACACCUGUCAGGUAUUGUGGACUUCUUCACCCUGGUGAAGCACUCUUGACUUCAGGUAUAAUAAGAACCAGUAAAUCACUAACCAUAGGCCUGGCAGCCAGCCGUUGUUUAAUGAGGUAAGAUGUUUUACUCUCUCGUGCUUUUAGGCUUUAAUUCCGGAAAUAUAUAUUCUUGGAUACAGAUUAUGCAAGUUAUGUGCACUUGUGCUUAACCUAGGUUACAAGAAGAGAGAUAUUAUCAGAACCAGGUUGAUGAAUUUAUCAGAACCAUACAACUGUGUUCUACUUAUCGAACAGACUACAAGAGCAAGUUCAAAAUAUCUGUUCUUACAACUUGGAUGCAACAUAGGAUGUCAUCAAUACUCAUUAAACUGUAAAGAAAAAGAACAAGUUGAUGCACUUGUUAGUCAGUCACUGACAAAAUGAGGAAAAACCAAUGAAAAUAUUGACACUGAUAAUUUCCUUUAGAGAUCAUUUCCUUCUCUUAGAUAAUUUUUUCCCGUGGAAAGGAAGAAAAUAGGAAUCAUGAUAAAAUUUCAUUGAAAAGUACAAUUAAUAGCUGUUACUGUGUCAUACCUACAAAAGUCUAUAGCAAAAAGUUUCAAAUUGUCAAAAGUAAUAAAUAAGUUGUAAAAUACAUUAAAUACAUGUAUGAAUAUGAUUUAAACCAUAUUAAAUAAUCUAGACGACAAUGUUAGAGCUCUAUAUAGAAGAAGAAAAAGAACCAUAUUCAUUUGUGUAUUAACGCAAACAAGUUUGCAAGAUUUAAAACUGAUAAAACAAACCCUACAGUGUCUCAGUAUUUGAGUGUUAAGACCUACCCUUCAGUAUUUUUACCUUGGCAAACAGUCUUGGAGAUUUAUAUAGGACUAACAUUUAGAGUUUUUGUUAGUCUUAUUAAAUUUUAAUUAUAAUAGUUCAUGCAAAUUAUAAAAUAUGAAAAUCAGUGGCACAAAAAAUCAUUUUCAUUUUAGUCAAAGUGAGUAAAAUUUUACUUUUUGAAGGCUGGAAAUGACAUUCUUGAUUGAAAUGGUGAAAGAAUGAACUUAACUUGCAAUUUGGCAUUUCUCUCUCUUCUUUACUAGCACUUAAAUAGAAAGGUCUUCUUGAAUUUUGUUCAUCAAUCUCUUGGGUUAUUAAGGAUUACAAUCUACCAUUUUUUAAUUUAGUUAGUUAAGGCUUUGAUUGAUGCACUAUGUUCUUAAUCACUGAUCAUAUUUUUUCCUUUGAAGAAAAAGAAAAAUACUAAAACUAUAUUUAAAAAUAGAAAGCACAAACUUUUAUUGUUAGGAAAAGUGAAGUAAGAAAAAAUAAGGAAAAAAAACUGAUAGCCUGGUAGGAGCUACAAAGAUAAUGCUUCAUUUCUUCAAAUUAAGUCACAUGAUGUUUUAGUUUCAAGAUUGAGACAAUAGAUGAUUAGUUGCAAUAGUGAAUAACUAAUUAGUCUCAAAGAGUUUUCAAAAAGUAUACAUUGAUCAAAUGGUUGAGGAAAAUCUAGAAACUAGAUGACCACAAAUAUUGAUGAGAAACUAUUCACAACAAAGAAUAAAUUUACAUGUACAAGUAACAUAACUUUGUCAAGGUAAUUAAACAUCUAGUAGAAAGAAACAAAAUAAGUUUUCAUCAGACGUUCUUCGUACUGCGUAUUACAUGAGAUAAAAUAAAAAAGAAUUUGAGCUUUGUGGUUAAUAUGAACUAAGACUUGAAACAAAUGUCAAAAUGUGUAUAUUCCAAAAUUAGAGGGAAAUGCAUUUCUAAAAGUCAAAAUAAAAUAUUUAUGAAUGCAAAUAACAUUUAUUAAUAUGGCGUUGUCACAUACAUUUAUUAUUGUAGUACUUUUUUGACGUAAUAUAUAUAGGAAAAAGGUAGUUAAAAAAGAUAAAAAUAUGAUUUGAGAACGUUUUUAUGAUGUAAUUAAAAUUUUAUUUUCAAAUAAUUACAUAUCCAAACAAUCCCAUAAUGUGCAUGCUUGCUUCAUCUUUAUAAAUUUUAUUAUGAAGGAAAUGUAUGAAAUUGAAACAAAUUAGAUAAAAAGAAGUUUACGCUUCCCGCGCAAUAUUUGGAACCAUAUUAUACUAAAAAAUGUGCGGAUUGAUUCUCUCUCAUAUGGAUAGUGAAUCAUUUAUUAGGUUACUAAUGUAUUAUAUUCUCAUUAAAAGCAAUAUAUUUCUAUAAUUCAUGUUAUCCACGACUAAACUAUACUAUAACCAAAAGAUAAACAUUUCAAAAGAAUAUGAACAAAUCCAAAAAAAACUAGGAUAGGAAAUAAUGAAAGAAAAAAAAUUUUAAUCAACCAUUAAAUAGUUUGCCUAAUUGAGGAUGCAAUUUAAGAAGUUUAUGAGUUUUAAAUUUUUUUAGCUUCCAAUCGUAUUACAUAAAUUUAAAAGUUAAACGAGUUUUGCGCAACAAUAUACACGUGCAAUGCACCUGCUCUUUCCUAGUGUGUGUAUGUGACUAUAUAGUGACUAUAUAUAUAUAUAAAUGUAUAUAUGUAUGUAUAGAUAAUCGUGUCAACUCACGAACUAAUAAGUUAAAUAUCUUUGAAUUCAAAUUCGAACUCGAGCUUGAACUCGAGCUACUACUUGCUCGACUCGUAUGCAGCCCUACCGUGCAACGGAUAGUUUGAGAUCAAGUAAACUAGACACCAACUCAUCUCCACUUCAUUUCAAAAUCUGUUGAUUUUAAAAUAAUGGAUUCUUUGUGCUUCAAAAAACAGAGGGUUAUCUAAAUGAAAAGAAUAACGGAAGAAGAAGACUGCAAAUAAGUACUAGAACUCACAAAAAUUUUUCACAAUGAUACAAAAGUUGAGGAAGGUUAACGUUCAUUAUCCUUUUAAUAGUAAAAUGGCAAUUUUACAUCAAGUAUGGUAUCUUGUAUUGCAAUGAUAUUCCAUAUCCGGAUAAAUAAACCGUGCCAUGUCAAAUAUACCUCAAGCGAUAUUAUUACUAUUAAGGGAUUUUGAACACAUCAUUGUGGAGAAAAAAAUGUACAAGUCAUCACUAUCAAAUAUAAGAGCAAAAUACAUGGUAAUCAUGUUGGUUACCUCUACCUAAAUCUGGGCCAACCUAUGAAACUGUCCGUGGUGAUCAAAGCACACAAGUAGAUUACGUAUUGGUUCUUCCUCAAACAAAAAUCUGGAAAUCCUCAUUUCCAGAGUCUUUUUGCUCUUCCUCAAUCUCCCAAAGUGAACUUACAACCGAAUCUGAACAGCCGUGCACCUCAAUCAUUUCAAGAGUUGAAACUUCCCCAAAACAAGAAGGGACUUCUUUCAGUCUCCAGCAUUGAACCAAGACUAAUUUCCGCAGACGCGGGAACUGAUCAGAUGAGCAUUUCCAUCGAGAUAUACGCAACUGUUCCAGUUUCAAGUAUUUGAGCUGAGGAAACUCAAAUCCUUCCAGGUCCCAUGUGCCCUGCGGAGAGACUUCACGAUCUAAUUUGAUCACCUCAAGACUGCACAGUUUCCCAAUCAAUGGAAUUUCACUCCAAUGGAAAUAUGACAGACUCAACUUCUUUAGACUCAUCAACUGAAAACGAAACUCAAGAUGGUACCUUCUCGGGUGAUCCAGCAUGAGCUUGAGCGAUUCCAAUUGGCUCAGAAAGCCCAUUGCCACAAUCUUAUUACAAUCUCCAUUAUAUUCCUCAGAUUUGAAGAGCCUGCAUUUUAGUCUGCGGAUGUUUGGGAAUUUUUCCAAUAUCUUUUCGCUUUGUACUGAACUAAGAACCAGAACAGAAAUGCUGUCUAAAUUAUGUAAACUCCCCAGGUUCUCUUCAGCCCAGUUAAAAGUAAAACCAUUUCUUGCGUCUAGUCGCCUCAAUUUCUUCAAAUUCCAUAUAGUAUCUGGCAGUAGGACAUUUCCGCCUGCUUGGACGAUAAAAGUUUCUAAAUGUGAGAGAUUGCCUACUGAUGAAGGAAUGGAGUUGGCUGAAAGAUGAAUUGCCAAGUACCUCAGCUCAGAAAGCAACUCUAUCUCGCUUGGAAGUUCACCAUGUAGACAAAAUUGUCUCAAGUCCAAUACUCUCAGACGCUUGAAAAAGAGAAAUAGGAAUUUAGGAAAACCACUUCGGAGCAUCUCAUCCUCCUGAGCAUAGAACAUCAGAGAGUUCACACGGGUUGAGCAUAGCCUUGAGUCCGCAAAAAUAUCCUGCCCUGAAAAAAUGCAUAACCUUUGCAGAUUGCGUGGCUCAUCAAAGGUGAAAAGUUUAUCAUCUCCAUGUAAAAACUGCAGAAAAUUUUCUUUCUGGGCUUUUACCAAACAAAACUCGUGCAACAAAUCAUGAAUGCGGCAAGUUCUAACACCACCUAGGGAUCUUUCUUUGGAAACCAUAACCAAGCUUCUGCUUGUCAGUUCAUAUAUGUACUCCUCAGCUACAUCCUCCAAGCUCUUUAUCUCACUUUCCUGGACAAAUCCUUCAGCGAUCCAUAAACUCAUCAACCUCCAAGAGGGAAUCUCUCUGUCUUCGGGAAAUGCUGCGAAGUAGAGAAAGCAUGGCUUUAGAUAUUCAGGUAAAUGCUGGUAACUCAGCUCUAAUACAUCCAUGCACUGAUCUGUAGCACAAACAGCACUUAAGCUUAGUCUUUCCGCGACCUCUAUCCAACCAUCAUCUUUCUCCAAUCUAGCAAGAAUUCCAGCUACCGUAACAAUCGUGAGAGGUAAACCCUGACAAUGUCUGGCUAUCUGCAUCCCUAGAUCACUGUGCGCUAAAGGAAAGCCAUUUUCUUCAGGUAGCUUCUUCUGCAGUAAUUCCCAACUCUCCUUAUCAGUGAGUCGUUGAAGAUGGUGAAUUGUAACAUUCUGGUUGAUUUCCAAAGCCACCAUAGGAAGUCGACUGGUUAAGAGGAUUCUACUUCCAUUGGCAUUAUCUGGGAAAGAUCUUUCCAACGCAUUCCAAGCCUCACUACUCCACACAUCAUCAAGAACAAUGAGAUACCUAAUUUUCAUCAAACGUUGCUUUAGUUUUUCUUCCAACUCAUCUUCAUUCUUCUUUGAAUAUUCAUCACCAGAGUGGUGUUUUUUUCUUUGUAGCUGAUCCUCAAAAAGGUCAGGAUCCAUACAACUCAAAAUCUGAAGCAGCACAUCUUUAUGCUGAUAGAGCUGAGAAACAGCACACCAUGCACGGAUAUGAAAAACGCAUCUAAUUGAAGGAUCAUCAUAAACAUUUUGGGCCAAAGUCGUCUUACCUAUUCCAGGCAUACCAACAAUGGAAACAAACCCCAACUGCUUUUGUCCUCUUGUAAGUUUGUGAAUUAUUGUGGCUUCAUCUUCCAGCCUCACCCGAACUUUGUUGGUUGUCCUGCUCACACUAUGGGCUUCCAAUCUAUACUUAUUGUCACAAAUGUUCAUGGCUUCCAUCUUAGCAAGAUUAAUCUCUUUAAGUUCUUCCCUGAUGGAAUCAAAUAUGAUUGGAGACCUAAAAUCUGGAAUGUCUCCAAUGAACAAGGAUUUAACCGUCAGCUGUGUCUUAUGCGCCGCCACCAUGACACGUCUCCGAAGGGCUUGGUUGCUCUGGUCCACACUGAUCUCCAUCAAAGAUCUUAAUGAUGCAAGAUCUUCUCGGAUAGUUUGAAUUUGAUCCUUUGCAAAAGCAAUUGAACCAACCUCACAACUCGGCAGCUCUUUCAGAUUUUCUAGGAGAAAAUCCAUAAAACCAAGCUCAUUGUUUCUUGGAAAGAUGAAUGUCGAUGUAACUACUUUUACAAGCUUAAUCUUUCCCACGAAGUUGAGAAGUGCCAAAUCAAAUUCCUUGGCCAAGCCUUCUUUCAAGACGUGCAAAAAAAUUAGGCAAAUUAUGAUUCCUGCUUCGUUGACCGCAGCUCGAAUGAGAUCCUUCACCUUUUCAUGAAGCCCAUCAAACUUCUCCGGGUACUUCAUAAGAAUGGUUUUCAAGAAUCUUAGUCCCUUAUAGAGCAGUGGUAUUUGCUCCUCAAAAUUGAUAAUCAACACAGCAUCACGACAUAGUAGCUUAUCAAGACUGUCCAGGAGAAAAAAAACAUGGUGCUCCAAUAGACGUCUGUUCGUCGCCAGAAUGUUGGAUGAUCUUUUCCAGUCUGUAGCUGUCAAGACUUUGAUGUAACUCUCAAGCAUCUGGGGUUCAACAGACAUGACUUUUGCCAGCACCCCAGAAAUCUUUGUUUUCAUUUCGUCACGCACGAUCGCAUCCCUUUUGCGACCCGUGGAAAUGAAAAAGACGCUUGCCGCUGCAUUGACUGCCACAAGUUCCAAAUGAGUCAAGAGAACCUUCAACUGCCUGUGCUGAAACCCUUUCAAUUCUGCAAAGAGAAUGAAUCGUUUGAAGAAUUCUAGCUUCUCUUUAAUGUAUGAGAUCAGAGUUCCCAGGUAGACAUUGCCCAAGUCGAGAAGAUCUUCCAUAUUUGCCAACAGCAGGUCAAUGAAUUCCAUAAGUUCGUCUCUGGAUUGCAAGGAGUAACCCAACGCAGUGAUGUUGGAAUAGGAUUCGUUGAUUUUUUGUGUGAAAGACCACAAGCUUCCCCGAAAAUCUUCCACCAUCCCAAUAAAAUAAGCUUUCAUGUGAGAUCGUGGAUAGAAUCGUUCCUCUACUCCAAGACGAAUGGAGUCCAACUCCUUUCCUAUUCGGUUAACUGCAUCUUCAAGGCUAUGCAACAGAGAUCCAAGACUUGCAUUUUCAUCAGAUUUAAAGUAGAGAAAUAUGCUACGCAUGAAAGAUCCAAGAGAUUCCCAACUGAUCAAACGAUUGCUGCUCCUCCAGUACUUCCGAGCACACAAAACAAAUGUUCUCACAAGUCUUAGAUCCGUCCUCAGCCCCGUCCACAGAUGAGAUUCUACGUCCAGAUCUUUUGCCAGAUGCUCUAGAGCAUUUAAGACUCUAUCAACCGAAGCACAGCCCAUCUUUGAUUCUUUCUAUCCUCUGCAGCAAUGGAAGACACUCGAAACCUUACCUCCUUUUUUUCAACUUCAGCCAACACGAACUCCAGGAACUAAUCUACGCUGCUGAAAAUUAAGCGGUUCCUCUCUCAAUAUUUCGGUAAACCCCUUCCUACAAUGAAUGAAUGGAACAAGAUCUCUAUCUUCUAUCUUCUUUUUUUUUUUUUUUUGGUUGGGUACACAAGGGCAACUGUAGAGUGACUGCCUGGCUCCUUUCUUCCGUGGCCGCAGGGGAAAGGUCGCUUUUACGCGCAACACAGCAGGGGGGCGUUUCCAGUGGAGUUUUCUACCAAAAAUUUUUUACAUUUUUCAUUCAUCUUUUUUUUUAUUUUUCGCAUGUAUUAAAUCACAACAGUAUAUUUUUCACAAAAACUUCAAAAAAUUGCAAUUCAAAUGGAAUCAAACCCUCCUCUUUUGAUAAAAGAAAAAGGAACAUUUGCAAAAGGGAAAAUCGUUUAAAAUUUAGUCUCAAUCUAAGUUUUGAAUCACUUCUUACUCUAAAUUUUUCAAAUAAUUCACACAUGGUCAUUGUUUUAAGACAAAUGACUUGAUUCAUUAUAAAAACAAAUGACUGGAUCCAUUAUUCAUUUUUGUCCCCUCAGAAGUAGGAUUUGACUUAUAUCAUAUUCAUUUUUCUUUAAAAGGUGAAAUUGGAUCCAAAUAUUAAUCUUUGUCACUAAAAAAGAAAAAAAAAAAAAAGUAGGAUCUGACCUUUUUAUACAUAAAAAUGACAGCAUGUGGGUCACUUUGCAAUUUCAACUAAAAAGCAAUUAAAAAUUUAAGUUAGGACCAAAUUUUGCUUAUUUAAAUUUAUAAGGAAUACAAAAUUAAUAUUUAAAAAUAAAGAACAAAAAAUUUUAUUUGACUAAGGUUCCGUUUGAUAAAAUUGAAUAUGAAUUCUGAAAUCUGAAUACUGAAACAAUUGCUUUGCUGAAUUUUAAGCACUAAAAAGAAAUAUAUGAAUACCUGAAUUUUAAUGUUAAAUCUAUUUAUACUAUUUGAUAAACAUUUUAUAACUGAAUGCUUAGUAAGUUAAAUUUGAUAAUUUUGCCCUUAUAUGUUUUCAUCCAAAAAUAAAUAGAACCUGUGAUUUAAUUAGCAUAAAAUUGUUAGGUAUGAAAAUGACAAUAUUUAUUUUUAAAUCAAAUUAAUAUAAAAAUGAAAUAUAUUAUAUGAGGAGUAUAGAGAAGAUGUGAAAGUCAUUAAAAAUGGAAAAAAGAGAAUAGAAAACCAUUAGAUAAAGAAUAUCAAGCUGUUAAAUUAGAUAAGAAUUUUGAAUAUAAUUAAUAAAUAAGAAUAGAUUCGGGAGAUAAGAUAAGGUAAUUGAAAUAAUUCUAUUGAUUUUUAUCAAAAUUAAGCAAUCAGUUAACAUUCUUGUACUCAAAAAAUAUACACAAGUUCAGCACUGCUUAACAAAUUCAGCAGAUGGAUUUUCAUUUAUCAAAUACUCAAAAUAUUUGAAUGUCUCAAAAAGUUCAGUUUCAGCACUUUUUUAUAUUAUUAAAUAGACCCUAAAUGUUAUGCACUUUUUGGAUAGAAGAUUAUUUGGGAUAAUUUUUAAAAAAAAAAUAUUGUAGUACUUUUUUGAUAUGCUGUAUGUGAGAUAAAAAGAUGAUUAAAAAAUAUAUUGAUAAUGUAAGAAAAUCAAUGUAUGUAAAUAAGGUAUAAAUAAGGUGCAAACCAACGAUACCGUAAAUUUCUACUCCUACAAUCACUGCUUUACAGUUUGAUUGCACUAUCACUUGCACAGUUAUUAAACCCGGCCCGGCCCGGCGGUCGGACCGGUCAAACCGGUGGCCCGGUCAUGAAACCGGGCUGAUUUUCUAGUUGGAUCGGAGUUGCAAAGAACCCGCCUUGACCCGUUCGACCCGGACGGUUUAACCAUAGAACCGCUAGAACCGGCGGUUAUUGAUAAACCCGGUGGGUUUUGGUAAUUUUUUUGAAGUUACCGUUUUAUCCAAUUUUUUUAUUUAGACCAUUCAUACUACAUGGGCAUUAUCGUCUUUUUAGCCAAAUAAAAGAGAAAAUCAGAAAAAUUGAAGAAUGAAGAGGGAAUCGGACAUUUGGCCGUCAUUGGGGAUUUAGGCAUUAGGGAUUGUUUUCUUCUUUGUUUCUCUGAGAAGCGAGAACAAAUGGAGAACUUUUUAAGCAUUUAGGCAUUCGGCCAUUGUUUUGUCGGCACUGGCAGGUUUGAACAAUUUUUCUUUCGGCACUGGCAGGUUUGAACAAUUUGUCGGCACUGGCCAUUGUUUUGUCGGCACUGGAACUUGGAAGUUCGAAGUUCUUCAAGGAAGCCGCCGCUGCUACUGAAGCUGCCGUUGCUACUGAAGCUGCCGCUGCCGUUGCUACUGAAGCUGCCGCAGCCACCGAAGCUCCAGGUACUCGAAGCUACCACUGCCGCUACCAGGUACUCGAGGCUGCCGCUGCCGCUGCCGCUGCCGCCGCUACUGAAGCUGCUGCUACCACCGAAGCUCCAGGUACUCGAGGCUGCCGCUGCCGCUGCCGCUGCCGCCGCCACCGAAGCUGCCGCUUCCAGGAAGCUUUGUUCCUCUCAAUCCUCUUGUGGAGUUUGACGGUCUCUCUCCCUAUUCUCUUAAGGAGUUAAGUCUCUCCGAAUUCUCUGACCGCAGGCAAUAUUUUGUUUCUUCUUUCUUUUUGGAUGAUUAUUUAUUUCUUCUUCCUCUGCAUCGAACUUCAACAUGUGUAGUUACAUAAAUUUUCAGUGCCAUUUAAUACUCUUUGCUUCUGAGAAUUUAAUUUCAACAUGGUUAAAUUCAUUACCUGUAUUUAAUCACUUGCCUCGAACCCGUCAUUGAUAUAUUAGUUCAAAAUGUAGAUAUUGUUGCCAGUGUCUUUUUAAGGUUUCAAAUUGUCAAAUCAAAUUUAGAUUCAUUCACUGAUGAGCUACAAACAACCUUGGAGCAAUUCUAUGAUGCUCUGUAAUUGCCAACUAUGAAGAAUUAAAUCAGUAAGGGUAGAGCAAAAACACAUUUGGGAUAAAAUAUUCUUCUUGAAUAUUCACAGCACGAGAAUCAGUUGAGGAAGGCUUUAUGUUUUGCCAGUUCUUGCGGUACAAUAGCCGUAACAAAAAAUGGAGUUACCCCUGCCCUUCCAACAAUUGAAGCUAUCCUGCAACUUCUAACCAAGGUCACUGCAUGAAUAGAAUAUUAUACAAUUAGUGAUUCUUAUCUUGUUUCUUCUACGUAGUUUGACUUGUAUAAAGUAAUUUGGUUCCACUGCUCCAGCUAUUAUAAGUCCUUCUUUAUCUACUUUUCAUAAACAAUGAUCGGCACUUCACCUGUCGUAAAACACGGUCGUAUUUUCACGUGAGCAAGUUUCUAGUAGUUUAAUUGCAUCAUUGAACUUAACCUGUAGCUAAUUUUUUUAAAUAAAAGAUAUGUUUUAUUAUUUUUCAGAUAUUUCAUAUUUGUAAUGGACUCUAUUGGAGAAACACCGUCUCAAACACCAAGUACAGAACCAACACCUAGUACAUCAAAUUCUCAAAAUCAACCUCUAACAAGGGGAAAGACGGACCCUGCAUGGUCCCAUUGUAGAGAAGAUUCUGUGUCCAACAAAAAAGUUAAGUGCUUGGUAUGUAUUCAUUGUGGAAAAAGAAUUCGAGGAGGUGGUAUCAAUCGAUUCAAGCAGCACCUUGCAGGCGUAAAAGGAGAGACAGCACCUUGUCCGAAGGUUGAUGAACAAAUCAGAUUUGAAAUGCUAGAAAACUUGAAAGCUGUGGAAAGUAAGAAAAGAAGCUUGAAAGAACGCUCAAGGGGAAGUGAUUUAUAUGGUCAAGAUCUAAGACAACAUGAAGAGGAGGUAUACAUGCAAGAUGCAGAAGAUAUUCAAGAGAUUCAACCACCUCCUACUACUGAAGUUUCAAAAGGAAAAAAAGUUCUUCAACAGCACAAAAAAGGAAAAACAAUAGGAACUUUUUUUAUGCCAAGAGCUACUCCAGGAGGUCAACCAUCCAUCAAAAGUGUGAUGCAAAGCAAAGAAGCUAAAGAGAAGGUUGACAUGGCAGUUGCGAAGUGGAUGAUUGAUGCUUCCAUCCCCUUCAAUGCAGCAAACUCUGCAUAUUAUCAAAUAAUGUUUGAUGCUGCUUGUUCUUUUGGAGCUGGUUACAAAGCGCCUAAUUUCUAUGACUUGCGUGGCUAUUUGUUGACAAAAAAUGUUGAGCAAGUUAAGAAUUUUGUUAAUAGCUUUCGUACAACUUGGAAAGAAACUGGAUGUACUAUUAUGGCUGAUGGAUGGACUGACCAACAAAGGAGAACUCUCAUCAACUUUCUAGCUUAUUGCCCUAGAGGAACUGUUUUUCUAAAAUCAGUUGAUGCCUCGGAUGCUUCUAAGACUGCAGAGAUGUUGUAUAAGCUGUUUAGAGAAGUGGUUUUAUUUGUUGGGGUGCAAAAUGUGGUACACUUCGUCACUGACAAUGCUGCCAAUUAUGUUGCUGCUGGAAGAUUAUUAGAAAGGGAAUUUCCAACACUUUAUUGGUCUCCAUGUGCUGCUCAUUGUCUAAAUUUGAUGCUACAUGAUAUGGGCAAGUUAGAUGAGGUUAGUAAAGUGGUUGGACAUGCUUCAAAAAUAACAAAAUACAUUUAUAAUCAUUGUUAUCCAUUGCAUUUGAUGAGAAAACACACUGGUGGAAGAGAAAUUAUUCGGCCUGCUCCUACACGUUUUGCUACUAAUUUCAUUGCAUUGCAAAGUAUUUUAGUGCAAAAAGAUGCUUUAAGAGCUAUGGUGACUUCAAAAGAAUGGACUCUAUCAGCAUAUGCUAAGGAGAGUAAAGCAAAAAAAUUUGUGGAUCUUGUGCUAGAUUCUAUAUUUUGGAAAGAAUGUGCUAUAAUAGUUCAAUUAACUGAGCCUCUUGUUCGAGUUCUAAGAAUUGUUGAUAGUGAUGAAAGGCCUGCUAUGGGAUACUUGUAUGCUGCCAUGCAUAGAGCCAGAGAAGAGCUUUUGAGAAGAUUCACAAGAAAAAAGAAAGCAGUUGAUCCUUACUUAAGAAUAAUUGAUUCAAGAUGGGAUAGUCAGCUUCACAAAAAUCUUCAUGCUGCCGGUUAUUGGCUCAAUCCUGCUUAUCAAUAUAAUUCUCUUGAUUUGGAAAAGCACAGGCAUGCAACAUCAGGACUUUUGGAUGUGAUUGAGAGAUAUUCUUAUGCAAAUCCUGAUUUGAUGAGUAAUUUGACCGGAGAGAUGAGAUUAUUUCGUAAAGCUGAAGGUGAUUUUGGUAGAGUCUCUGCUAUACGAGAUCGUGAUGUCAUGCUUCCAGGUACCCAAAAAUUAACUUCAUUUUUAUUGAUGAUUUGAUUUUAAUUGUAAAAUAUUAUAAUCUGACUUUUUUCCUUUAUUUAUUGCAAUAGAUGAAUGGUGGACAUGUUAUGGUAGCACUGCACCUAAUUUGCAAAAACUAGCUAUACGUGUUCUAAGCCAAACUUGCAGUGCUUCUGGCUGUGAAAGAAAUUGGAGUUUAUUUGAGCAUAUCCACUCAAAGAAGAGAAAUAGAUUGGAGCAUCAAAGACUAAAUGAUUUGGUUUAUGUACACUACAAUUUAAGACUACAACAAAGGUAAACUACAUUUUGCAAUCAGAUUUUUGUUUUAAUAUGAUGACAUUUGUUAUUUAACUAGUUUUAAUGUUUUGUAUCAUUAGAAAUGCAAGGGGUAGAAAUUAUGAUCCUAUUGAUUUUGAGGACUUCAGCAUCAAUGAAACUUGGAUUUUGGAUGAUGAACCUUCACAAUUAACUCCAGUUGAAUUAGAAAGCUUUAGGAAUGAAAUAGCUACAUUUGCUAUCAGCCGACAAAGUGGUGAGUUAUUUUUUUUGAGCCAUAUGUUUGCUUAUUCUUUGUUUUUCGUUUUUGGCUAAAUAUUAUCCAAAUUUAGUGAAUGAUUCAUUGAUUUUUGUACUUAUGUAGAUGAAACUCUAAAUUUGGAUGAUUUGGACACUGGAGAUGAAGAUGAGACCAAUAAUGAAGAGAAUGUUGAAAGAAAUGAUCUUAAUGUGGGCUGUGAUGUAAAUGAACUUGGUGGUAUUGAAUUUGGCAGAAGUUGGGAACCAUGGGCAUGAAUAAUAGAUGGAGUGAACUACUCAAGUGAUAAUUGUGGUGUUGUUUAUGUUCAUGACUUUAUGUUUGGUUGUAUUGAAUUUGUCGUUUAUGACUUAUGUUUCAUGGUUUGAUACUUCUAUUUAUGUGUGUGAAAUGAAUUAUGAACUAUGAACAGGUUAUAACUUGUUGAGAUUUAAGAAUUUCUGCACUUAUAUUAUAAUUUACAUGUUUAUUUAAUUAUAUUAUAUAUAUUUUUUAUUAUAUAUUGUGACCCAACGGUUCAACCAGUGACCCACCGGUUGAACCACUGACCCGUCAACCCGGUCCUCUUGCCGGGUUGAUGUCCGGGUUGGUUUUAAUAACUAUGAUCACUUGUCUCCAUCCUUCUUCUUUGCGCUUUCCACGAUGCUAUUAUAUUAAACCAUUAGGGAAAUUGUCAAUGCGGAAACCAAAACUUUUUAGGCUAAAUAACCAACUACUCCCAUGUGGUUUCGCAUACUACCAAAUGACUCUCUUAACAUUUUGAAGUUUCCAAAUAACCCCACAUAAUUUUAUAUAAAGGGAAAACUUGACGAAAAGCAAUUUCCUAUUAGUUGAAAUGCUAGUAUUAACCAAAUGAGAACUGAAUAGAUAUUUAUGUUAAAUUAUAUGGAAUCAAGUGGAUAUUAUAUUAUAAUUUUACCAUAUGCACUUUAGGAUGGUGCCUAGAUACAGAGAUGCACUUUUCGCUCACUUUUUACUUUGCAUAAAACCACAUAUGAGUAACGUGAAUAUUCUAAAACAUUAGAAAAGUAGCAUGGUAAUAUGCAAAAACAUAGGGUGUUUCUAGUAAUUUAAUCCAAUUUGUACAUAAAAGCAUAGUUAUUAAAUUCGAUCCCGAUAAACUUUUGAACUUCAGUUGAACAAGAACUGUAGUAAGUAUUCUAUGCUGCUGAAAAUCAAUUGUUUUCCUUCUUUUUUCGCAGAAAAACUUUGAACUUCUGUCGAACGGGAACUAGGAGGUAUCCUAUCCUAUGCUGCUGUUUUUGGGUGCUUAGUGCUCUUACUUCUAUGAAUAUUUUGGUCAACCCCUUCUUUUUCUUAGUGAAAUUAUGAGCAGAAUGAAACAAAUCCGCCGAUUCAGGCAGCCAUGUCAAACAAUCAGGGAAAUCAUUAAUGGCGCAAAAAAGAAAAAAAAAAUCUUCUCAAGCCUCAUUUCCAUCUCAAUUCCACGGAUAACAGCCUAUUUGACCAGAGCAUUAAUUUCUUUAAGUUUUUUUUUUUUUGUUAAGUAGUACCCAACUAAAUUAAUAAAGAUGUUAAACUUUGACUCAAUGAUGAAUAAUUUUUUAUGCAUUUAAUGUCAACUUGACAGACGAAGCAUUCUCUACCCCUUGAAAAUAGAAGGUAUUCACAGUACACCAAAAUACAAGGAAUGUGAAAAUGCAGAUGCCAAACAAAACGUUGAAUAGAAUUGGGAUUGACGCAUGAAGAUAACAAGGAUUCAAAGCCAAAGAAAACUGACUCAUGGGAGGCCAAUUUGAGGUGCUAGAAAAAGAAGUAAAGCUUAAACCAUGAAAGAGAAGGGGGAAGAUUACUGUAAGAAGUAGAAAUGCAAGAAAACUGGGGAGAAAGGUGGGGAGGGCAAUAAUGCGCAAAUACCGUUCGUUAGAUCCCCCCUAAAAGAGUAGAGUAGAACCCACUUGUACCUUUUUUUUGUACAUUCGUCUCAAAUGCAUCUCAGGUAAUCUCACGAAUUUUUAUAGCACAAACUAACAUGUACAAAAACAGCAAUUUGUUGAGGAAAAUAACUAAAUUAUGGCGAGCUAAACGCUCGAGAGAAAAUGCACCCAAUAAUCACCCCCUUGGUUUUUUGGUUCCAUCUUUCUGACACUCAUUUUCUUCUGGGAUGUGAAGGACCAAUUUGCUGGUGGUAUUUGUGGACUUCUUCACCCUGGUGAAGCACUCUGGACUUCAGGUAUGAUAAGAACCAGUAGUAAAUCACUAACCAUAGGCCCGGCAGCCAGCCGUUGUUUAAUGAAGGUAAGAUGUAGUACUAUAUCAUUUCUCUCUGUGCUUUUAGCUCCAGAAAUGCAUAUUCUUGGAUACAGAUUAUGCAAGGUCAUGUGCACUUGUGCUUAACCUAGGUUACAAGAAGAGAGAUAUUCUACUUAUCGAACAGACUACAAGAGCAAGAUCAAAAUCUCUGUUCUUACAACGUUCAUGCAAAGUCAUCAACCCUCAUUUAACUGUAAAGAAAAAGGGAAAGGAAAGGAAAAAGUUGAUGCACUUCUCAUUGCUAGUCAAGUCACUGGCAAAAACCAGGAAAAACCAAUGAAAAUGUUGACAUUGAUUCCCAGUAAAAUUAAGGUUGCACCAUAACAAAGUACUCCUAAGUGUUGGUCACUGGCAAAUGUCUUCUGGGCGUCCAUUUGAUGCACAAAUGAAGUUUCAAAACUAGGACCGACAUUACUCUAAAACUGAGAAUUUAACUUAGAAAGAGGCAAGAAAUCAUUACAAUUAAGCCAAAUGACAGGUAUCACUUCAACAAAAAAAACUCCCUCGAGGUUUAAACGACGGGAAAGCCAAGAUAUUCUUGUCACCAUACGCGAAGGCCCUUCCUAACUUUGCCAUCACCGUGUAGAUAAAAUUUCUUUAACAGUGUAAAAUAAGACAAAAAGCCAAUAACAAUACAGGAAAAAGACAACACAAAGGAAAAGCCAAUUUAAUCCCUUGGGACAGAGAAGCAAAACAUUUAACGACCAAAGACAGCAAUAAGCAAGGCUUUCUAAAGCUUGUAUAAUUCAUAACAAAAUCUUUUACAUCAGUUCACCAAGCAUAAUAAGAUACCAACCGUAUCUUCAUUUGACUUAGACGUCAAUCAAUUUACAGCUACUGUCAUAUAUUCUAAUUACAAGGUUCAAGAGCUCUGCCCUUUACUUAUUUCAUUGUAUCAGAAUCAAUCAAUGCACUUUUGACCAGUACUAGAUACUUUGUCAUGACGGCUAAGCAUCACCAGGCCUCCAUUGAUGCAUGAAAAUGCUUCUACACCUGACACUGGAUACAAAAUUCACAAGAUUAUGAAUAAAUUUAACCUCGACUGGUGCAGGAAAAUGCUUCCAUACAAAUGUCCAUAUAAAUUGAGCAUCAUUCACAGAAAAGUUUCUAUCAAGCUACA